rnacentral:rRNA from 1 species
AUUAACGCUGGCGGUGUGUAUAAUACAUGCAAGUCGAGCGCCCAGCACCUUGUUUCUAAAUUUGAUUUAGAGAUAAAGUGCUGGGAGCGGCGGACGGGUGAGUAACACGUUGGUAACUACUCCAGAAUCAGGGAUAAGCCCUAGAAAUAGGGUCUAAUACCGGAUGGUCCCGCAAGGGUAAAGCAGCAAUGCGUUCUGGAAGGUGCCUGCGGCCUAUCAGCUAGUUGGUGAGGUAAUGGCUCACCAAGGCUAUGACGGGUAGCUGGUCUGAGAGGACGGCCAGCCACAAUGGGACUGAGACACGGCCCAUACUCCUACGGGAGGCAGCAGUAAAGAAUCUUUCGCAAUGGGGGAAACCCUGACGAAGCAACACCGCGUGGAGGAUGAAGGCGUUUUCGUUGUAAACUCCUUUUCUGAGGGAAUAAUUUUGAAGGUACUUCAGGAAUAAGCAUCGGCUAACUACGU